GGAUGUGAGGGCGAUCUGGUUGCGACAUCUGUCACCCCAUUGAUCGCCAGGGUUGAUUCGGCUGAUCUGGCUGGCUAGGCGGGUGUCCCCUUCCUCCCUCACCGCUCCAUGUGCGUCCCUCCCGAAGCUGCGUGCUCGGUCGAAGAGGAUGACCAUCCCCGCUAGAGGAGGACCGGUCUUCGGUCAAGGGUAUACGAGUGGCUGCGCUCCCCUGCUAGAACCUCCAAACAAAAGAGGUUGCUUUUGCACACAAGAUUAAAAGUUGUUUACUGAUCCUUAUAAAUAUAUCCAAACACCCACUGAGGGUGAGGGAUUCCUU
rnacentral:snRNA from 1 species